rnacentral:tRNA from 1 species
GCGUCCAUUGUCUAAUGGAUAGG